GUGCCAGCAGCCGCGGUAAUACGUAGGUGGCAAGCGUUGUCCGGAUUUAUUGGGCGUAAAGCGAGCGCAGGCGGUUUCUUAAGUCUGAUGUGAAAGCCUUCGGCUCAACCGAAGAAGUGCAUCGGAAACUGGGAAACUUGAGUGCAGAAGAGGACAGUGGAACUCCAUGUGUAGCGGUGAAAUGCGUAGAUAUAUGGAAGAACACCAGUGGCGAAGGCGGCUGUCUGGUCUGUAACUGACGCUGAGGCUCGAAAGCAUGGGUAGCAAACAGGAUUAGAUACCCUGGUAGUCCAUGCCGUAAACGAUGAGUGCUAGGUGUUGGAGGGUUUCCGCCCUUCAGUGCCGCAGCUAACGCAUUAAGCACUCCGCCUGGGGAGUACGACCGCAAGGUUGAAACUCAAAGGAAUUGACGGGGGCCCGCACAAGCGGUGGAGCAUGUGGUUUAAUUCGAAGCAACGCGAAGAACCUUACCAGGUCUUGACAUCCUUUGACCACUCUAGAGAUAGAGCUUUCCCUUCGGGGACAAAGUGACAGGUGGUGCAUGGUUGUCGUCAGCUCGUGUCGUGAGAUGUUGGGUUAAGUCCCGCAACGAGCGCAACCCUUAUUACUAGUUGCCAGCAUUAAGUUGGGCACUCUAGUGAGACUGCCGGUGACAAACCGGAGGAAGGUGGGGACGACGUCAAAUCAUCAUGCCCCUUAUGACCUGGGCUACGCACGUGCUACAAUGGAUGGUACAACGAGUUGCGAGACCGCGAGGUUUAGCUAAUCUCUUAAAACCAUUCUCAGUUCGGAUUGUAGGCUGCAACUCGCCUACAUGAAGCCGGAAUCGCUAGUAAUCGCGGAUCAGCAUGCCGCGGUGAAUACGUUCCCGGGCCUUGUACACACCGCCCGU
rnacentral:rRNA from 1 species